GACGAACGCUGGCGGCGUGCCUAAUACAUGCAAGUCGAGCGGACUUUCAAGGAGCUUGCUUUUUGAAAGUUAGCGGCGGACGGGUGAGUAACACGUGGGCAACCUGCCUGUAAGACGGGGAUAACUCCGGGAAACCGGGGCUAAUACCGGAUAAUAUCUUUCUUCGCAUGAAGGAAGGUUGAAAGGCGGCGCAAGCUGCCGCUUGCAGAUGGGCCCGCGGCGCAUUAGCUAGUUGGUGAGGUAACGGCUCACCAAGGCGACGAUGCGUAGCCGACCUGAGAGGGUGGUCGGCCACACUGGGACUGAGACACGGCCCAGACUCCUACGGGAGGCAGCAGUAGGGAAUCUUCCGCAAUGGACGAAAGUCUGACGGAGCAACGCCGCGUGAGCGAGGAAGGUCUUCGGAUCGUAAAGCUCUGUUGUCAGGGAAGAACAAGUACCGUUCGAAUAGGGCGGUACCUUGACGGUACCUGACCAGAAAGCCACGGCUAACUACGUGCCAGCCGCCGCGGUAA
rnacentral:rRNA from 1 species